AUGAACGCUGGCGGCAGGCCUAACACAUGCAAGUCGAGCGGUAGAGAGAAGCUUGCUUCUCUUGAGAGCGGCGGACGGGUGAGUAAUGCCUAGGAAUCUGCCUGGUAGUGGGGGAUAACGUUCGGAAACGGACGCUAAUACCGCAUACGUCCUACGGGAGAAAGCAGGGGACCUUCGGGCCUUGCGCUAUCAGAUGAGCCUAGGUCGGAUUAGCUAGUUGGUGGGGUAAUGGCUCACCAAGGCGACGAUCCGUAACUGGUCUGAGAGGAUGAUCAGUCACACUGGAACUGAGACACGGUCCAGACUCCUACGGGAGGCAGCAGUGGGGAAUAUUGGACAAUGGGCGAAAGCCUGAUCCAGCCAUGCCGCGUGUGUGAAGAAGGUCUUCGGAUUGUAAAGCACUUUAAGUUGGGAGGAAGGGCAGUAAAUUAAUACUUUGCUGUUUUGACGUACCGACA
rnacentral:rRNA from 1 species